UCGCUCUUCAACGAGGAAUCCCUAGUAAGCACAAGUCACCAGCUUGUGCUGAUUACGUCCCUGCCCUUUGUACACACCGCCCGUCGCUACUACCGAUUGAAUGGCUUAGUGAGGCCCUCGGAUCGACUUUCUGAGACUGGCAACAGUCUCUGAUUGUUGAGAAGUUGGUCAAACUUGGUCAUUUAGAGGAAGUAAAAGUCGUAACAAGGUUUCCGUAGGUGAACCUGCGGAAGGAUCAUUAAUGAUUUGGCGAACCUAACGUUAGUUAGGUUUUGCGAUCACUUAUUUAAAACCCAACUCUUAAAUGUAUAAUUAUGUAUUUCUUGAUAAGAAAAAAUAAAGAUCACUUUCAACAACGGAUCUCUUGGCUCUCGCAUCGAUGAAGAACGUAGCGAAGUGCGAUAAGUAAUGUGAAUUGCAGAAUUCCGUGAAUCAUCGAAUCUUUGAACGCAAAUUGCACUUUCUGGUAUUCCGGAAAGUAUGCCUGUUUGAGGGUCAGUUAAAUAAAAAUCGGUGUUAUUGCUAUUAAUGGUGAUGCAUCGGAAUUGAGUCGUCUUUACCUUUGGUUUAAGUGACUUAAAAUUAUGUACGAUUUCUGAACGUAUUUAAAUUAUUUACUUACGCUCAUGAUAUCACAUAUUAGGUGCGGUCAUCCACAUGAUUUCGCGCCUAUAUUUUUCAUUAUUUGACCUCAAAUCAGGUAAGAAUACCCGCUGAACUUAAGCAUAUCAAUAAGCGGAGGAAAAGAAAAUAACAAUGAUUCCCUUAGUAACGGCGAGUGAAGGGGGAUAAGCUCAAAUUUUAAAUCUGCUAGGUUUUACUUAUCAGAGUUGUAAUUUGAAGAAGCGUUUUCCGCGUCUCGGUUGACCCAAAUCCUUUGGGAUAUGGUAUCAUGGAGGGUGAGAAUCCCGUCCGGUUGACUUUGUGACGCUUUACGAUACGUUUUCAAAGAGUCGAGUUGUUUGGGAUUGCAGCUCAAAAUGGGAGGUAAAUUUCUCCUAAGGCUAAAUAUUGGCGAGAGACCGAUAGCGAACAAGUACCGUGAGGGAAAGAUGAAAAGAACUUUGAAAAGAGAGUAAAAUAGUACGUGAAAUUGUUGAAAGGGAAACGAUUGAAGUCAGUCGUACCGACGGAAAAUCAACUCUUCGAGUGCGGACUUUGUGGACGUGCGUGAGCUUUAACGGCCUCGCUGUUUGUAACGUUUGUGCUUUUUGGGUGUACUUUUUCGUAUGGUAGGCCAACAUCAGUUUUGAUCGCUAUAAAAUGACCGGAGGAAUGUAGCUUCGAUCUCGUAUUGAAGUGUUAUAGCCUUUGGUAGAUGUGGUGAUCGAGACUGAGGAUUGCAACGAAUAUCCUUUGGGCUAUCCGUCUGAUCUCUGAAAGUCGCUUAGGUGCCGAAAGCUUGCUUACGGUCAUUUAAGUUUGACGGUCAAAAGGUUAGAACGUGAUUACAUUCGUUAAGGAUGUUGGCGUAAUGGCUUUAAACGACCCGUCUUGAAACACGGACCAAGGAGUCUAGCAUAUAUGCGAGUG
rnacentral:rRNA from 1 species